UUCGAUUCAAUAAACCGGUUGAAAAAACCGGUUCACCGGUUCGUUUACGCUCGACGUAAUGACGUCAUUGGCGAUGACGUAAUGGCGUCAAGUCUAUCAAACAUUCAAAUAUACAAAGUCAAUAAUCAUAACUUUAGUCAGUUAAAAACCUCAUAAUCAUGAAAAGUUUACAAUUAAGUUUUGCAACAACGCACCCAAAUACAGUAACAGCAAUAAUGUGCAUACGAGGAUUUAAGUCUUGAAGAUAUAAAGUAAAUAAAUUAGGUGUCAUCAGCGCAGAAACCAUGAUCCACUUACUAUACAUAAUCCAUUGCGAUUUAUUUGUUAUUAAAUAAACUUACGUUUCGCCCUUCAUUCAAGCCUGCGGUUUACCCGCGCUCAUAACAUUAGCACACAAUCAGUUCAGAAUCAAUCACCGAAAGAACCAGUUCGGUUCAGACGCGCUGUGUGUCAGUCUGCUUCACGCUGAAUCACGCAUGCGCAGUAUCAUCAGCUCCUCGGUUCUCAAAUCGGACGCGUCCGACAGAAACGGUUCUCGGUUCAGUGUACUGGUGAUCCGAAAACCGAUGCAACCGGUUCUUGACUCGAGAACGAGAACCGCUCUAACCGGCACGCUGCAGUUCAGUAUCCUCAGCUGUUGCGCUUCUUGUCCGCUGAUCUUCACUGCGCUGGACUCUCUUAUGACAUCUGGAGAUACUUUUACUCUAGGAAAUUCUGCAACAAAACAGUUCAAUCAGUCAUUACAUCUCUUUACUGACCAUGUUUACAUGCAUCAUUUUCCAACUACAGUCCAUGUAUAGGUUUAACCUUUAAACAAACUUAUAAAUGUCUUUACAACAG
ensembl:lncRNA